CCUACGGGUGGCAGCAGUGAGGAAUAUUGGUCAAUGGCCGUAAGGCUGACCCAGCAACGCCGCGUGAAGGAAGAAGGCUUUCGGGUUGUAAACUUCUUUUCUUAGGGACGAAGCAAGUGACGGUACCUGAUGAAUAAGCCACGGCUAACUACGUGCCAGCAGCCGCGGUAAUACGUAGGUGGCAAGCGUUAUCCGGAUUUACUGGGUGUAAAGGGCGUGUAGGCGGGAAAGCAAGUCAGAUGUGAAAACCAUGGGCUCAACCUGUGGCCUGCAUUUGAAACUGUUUUUCUUGAGUACUGGAGAGGCAGACGGAAUUCCUAGUGUAGCGGUGAAAUGCGUAGAUAUUAGGAAGAACACCAGUGGCGAAGGCGGUCUGCUGGACAGCAACUGACGCUGAGGCGCGAAAGCGUGGGGAGCAAACAGGAUUAGAUACCCCUGUAGUC
rnacentral:rRNA from 1 species